rnacentral:tRNA from 1 species
AAAAAGAUAAGCUAAUUAAGCUACUGGGCUCAUACCCCAUUUAUAAGGGUUAUAACCCCUUUCUUUUUA